UUCCUCCCUUGACGGCUGUUUUUCUUAUUUUCGGUAUUUUGCGCAAUUUGUUUUUUCUGCGUCGCGAUAGUGUGCUGGCGCAGUGCGUUCGGCACUCCGCGCAAUCUGCGCGUUUUAUACGGGUUAUCUAUUUAUUUAUAAUUGUUAAUCUAGCUUUGUGGCUGGUCCACUUUCUUUUAUAGUUUGUAUCCAUAUUUAUUCGCUAUAUCUUCUUAUGAAUGAACGGGACAGGCGUUUGGGUGGGUGUAGAGCUGGAGUUGAGAUUUAAAACUUCAAGAUGACGGAUCGUAUAAUAUAAUCUAUGGCUCGUCGCCAUACUGGUUCGCCGUUUCGCCGCUUUGCCGUGAGUCGCUGCCUGUCGACUUCGACUCGACCCGAUUCGGAUAUCUGGGUCUCUUAUCUUGUGCAUCUUACACUCGUUGGUCAUAUUUGUAGGCUUUGUGUGCUCCGUUUCGUGCAUGCUUAUGAUGCCCAGAAGAUAGAGAGUAUUGUGUAGUUUUCUCACUCUCAAGUUAAGUUAUUGUUGGGUUCAAUCGCAGUUGCUAACGGAUUACUGUAGCUGCUGAUCUUGCUAAUCCUAUUGAGUGUAACCUGUGCGAUCUUUGUCGCAUUGUGAUGCUAGGCGGCUGUAUUGCUAUUGAUGACCAUUAACGGUGCUGGGAGCCCGGUGGAAAUUGAACGGGGUUUGAUUGAUCGGGCUGAAUUGAGAUGAUCUGAUUGGGAUGGAUCGUCCGGUUGCCCUGUGAAUUUUUAUGAUACGGGUAUAACCUGGAAAUCCGUUGCAAUCUGCUGCAAUUUUGUUACAAAUUAUUAAUGAUCACGGUGCUGGGAGCCCGGUUGGAAUUGAACGGGGUUAGAUUUGAUCGGGCUGAAUUGUGAUGAUCUGGUUGGAAUUAAUAGAUCGUCCGGUUGUCCUGUUAAUCUUUAUGAUACGGGUAACUGAUAACCUGGUAAUCUGCUGCAAUCUGUUGCAAUUUGGGUGCAAAAUUAUAUAAUCACGGUGCUGGGAGCCCGGUUGGAAUUGAACGGGGUUAGAUUUGAUCGGGCUGAAUUGAGAUGAUAUGGUUGGAAUUAAUAGAUCGUCCGGUUGUCCUGUGAAUCUUUAUGAUACGGGUAACUGAUAACCUGGUAAUCUGUUGCAAUCUGUUGCAAUUUUGUUACAAAUUAUUAAUAAUCACGGUGCUAGGAUCCCGGUUGGAAUUGAACGGGGUUAGAUUUGAUCGGGCUGAAUUGAGUUGUGAACUGAGAUGAUCUGGUUGGAAUUAAUAGAUCGUUCGGUGUCCUGUGAAUCUUUAUGAUACGGGUAACUGAUAACCUGGUAAUCUGUUGCAAUCUGUUGCAAUUUGGGUGCAAAAUUAUAUAAUCACGGUGUUGGGAACCCGGUUGGAAUUGAACGGGGUUAGAUUUGAUCGGGCUGAAUUGAGAUGAUCUGGUUGGAAUUAAUAGAUCGUCCGGCUGUCCUGUGAAUCUUUAUGAUACGGGUAACUGAUAACCUGGUAAUCUGUUGCAAUUUGUUGCAAUUUGGUUGCAAAUUAUAUAAUCACGGUGCUGGACCGCGGUUGGAAUUAAACAGGACUAGAUUGAUUGGGCUGAAUUGGGCUGAUCUGGUUGGAGACAGCGAAUUCGUCCAGCUGUCCUGCGAAUCUUAUGACGAGGGUAGCUUGGUAACCUUGAUCUGCUGCAAUUAGCGCAUUGUUGCAUUAUGCCAUUAAAUGGCUUAUCUAUAGUUACGGUGCUGGGAGCCUGAUCGGAAUUGAGCUGAGUUGGAUCUGAUUGGGCUAAAUUGGGAUGUAUUGGGAUGAUUUGGCUGGAGUUGGCGGAUUUGUCCGGUUGGCCCAUGAACCUUUAUGAUGCGGGUAACCUGGUAACCUGCUAAUCUGUUGCAAUUGUUGCAUUGUGCCAUUAUAUGGCUUAUUGAUAGCUACGAUGUCGCGUGCCGGGUUGGCAUAUUAAAUGGUUGAAGGAUUGCUAAUUGGAUUGGAUCGGAUUGGUUGUGCCAUUAUUUAGGGAGCCAACAGAUUUAACCAUUAAUCUCGAGAAUCCCUAUGUACAAGGAAUAUGCUGCAGCGGGCAUUGUAUUGCCGGGCGACCUGUGUCGAUAGUGACGGUGGUAUUUUAUGCUCAUUAUCUAUAUCCUAUUGGUAUUAAUUAUAUAUUCUACUGAUCUUAUACUUAAUUCAUAUUUUAUCUAUAUUUAAUCCAUACCUGACAAUAAGUAAGACUAUACUAAUGAUGCAUUAUUAUUAUACUAUAUUAUACACAGUACCUGUUGUAAUAUGUAUGGUAUCUUGGCUUGUUGUGCCGCGGGAUUUGCCGCUGGCCGCAGCGAA